GCUGAGAAGGCUCAGGGAGUCAGGUGCAGCCUUUUUGGAGGAGGGCACGACAGCAGCCAGGGACCCUGAGCUGUUUGCAGUUCCAUCCCAGCGGAGGAGGGAGAGGAAAAUGAACCCUCCUAUUUAUGCAGUGACUCUAAUGAUGGUGGGGAAAGGAUAAAGGAGGAAUUGGGGAACAGCCUCAGCAGGAAUUGAGGAACAGCCUCAGCAGCACAGCCACACAU